GAUACAAUGCAUGGCAUGUGAAGCGGCUUCUUCGGGGGAGCUGGCAAAAAGGUGGACAAAGCGCUCUUGGUGAGAACAGAAGACACGUCCACUUGAGUUGUCAUCAGCAGCAGCCCGGACAUGGACAGUUGGAAAGGAGGAAGAAGCAAGAGGAGAGGCGAGAGAGAUGAGGAGAGAGGACUAGAGGAGUAUAGGUAAUGAGGGAGACAAGUGUCAAGAUCUUCUCGAUGUGAUGGGCCCAGCUAGUACCCUCACAAUGACAGCAGGUGCUGUCCUUAAAGAUUCCCCUCCACACCGAUCUCCUCCUUCUACACUGCAAUCUUACUCAGUGUGCAGAAGCUGAAGGGAUGCACACAAGGCAGGAGAAUGAGCUCCAGAGCUGAGAGGAGAAAUAAAGGAAUGGAGGGGAGGAGGUGGGCCUCUUUGCUCCGGUCUCGACCACGGGUAUUCUUGGGUUGAUAAUACAGAUGUGGAUGUUAUUGCUUGAGAAUACGCGUAGUCGAGUGGAAGCUUUAUCAUCUACUGUGGACCAAAAGCAGAGCGCUAUUCAGUAGACUACAAUGGCAGAGACUAGGCAGACACAUAAAAAUGUAUAACCAAGCUUGAGGAGGUGACACAGACAUGGGGUGGUUUUUAAUUAAGCACCCAGAGGUGAUUUUUUUUUUUUUUUUUGAUGGAAAAAGGCUUAUUUUGUUCAAUCAGAAAGGUUUUUAAAUAGAACGCAGCCAGGGCCUGCCAGGUGCCCAAAUCAAAUCCACCCACUGAAAAGGUUUUAUCAUCGUAGGUUUAUCAACCAUGUCACUCUCUACACCUGGAGGAGGAAAUGAGUUUGUGUCACCGGCCAGAUUCAGCCUUUCCUGCAGAGAUGCCAGCGGGGAAGACUUGCACCAUGCCACUAAGCUAAACCCCCGAGCAUUAGUUCAGGGAGCUUAACACAAAAGUCUUCAGACUCAGAUGUUAAUUCCAAACCUUCUUGAUUACACACCCUUAUCAGUCAGUCGUGCACCACAAGUGAGCCUAUAAUCUUAUCAGCUGAUGAGUGUCUUUCACAGCCCUUCACACUCUGCACCGAACAUUUUUCUCAUACUGAUUAGAAAGUUUGCAAAAUCGGUGCCAAAAAACGGCAGCCCGAGGGCCCUCGGACAUAAACCAAUGCAAUGCCACAAGACGGUACAUUCUAAGCAUGUAUAACCAUCAUCUCAUUGCACUACAAACUGCUCAUGCACUCCUAUUUAUGACUCCCCAGCUUGUGCUAUAAAUGUGUGAGAGUUUGAUGCCUGUAGCAGCAACAGGAGACAGUAACACAUGAGGACAUGUCAAGGCUUGCUCACACGGCUGACAUUUCAGCAACGUGCAGAUAGAUCCCCAUACGUAUGAACGCACACACACUGCAGCUGGGUUCACUGGGUUCAUGUGCCAGUGGGGAAAUAAGGGACUGAUUGAUUUUAUGGGUAACUAUUUUUAGUCAGAAUGAUGGAUGUUUAUGUCUUUUAUCGAUCAAGUUGAAGUGUAAGUUUGAAGAAUUCUUGGACGUCGGGCAUGCUGAUUAAUCAGGCGGCAAAGGUGCUAAAAUAAAACAUCCUGACUUACAUUUUUAGUACAUUAGUGUUAUUGCUAAGUAUUAUAAAGGCAAAGAAAUAAUCUCAUUGCAAAUUCAGUAAUAUAUUAUCAUCUGUUAGCAAACACGCCCGUGAUAAAUUACACUCUUGCCAUUUUCUAUUUCAUGAUUUCUUACUACUGCGUAAGCAAAUCUCUUAUUUAUUAACACAGUAUGUAAUUAUAAUUUAUUGUGCAAACUUGAUUGGAUAAAGCCAUUUGUGUGGUUUUGUGUGUAUUUGUAUAUGCAUGCAUGUGUGCUUCUAAGCAACAAAAUGACUAUUGUGAGCACAGCUCCAGGUGCCUAGCAACCGAAUCGCUCUGUUUCCUUGGCAACAGUUGCCUCGCACUCACUGUGUGGGUGAUUGGCAGCCUUGACAACGGAGACGGAGUGACACUUGACCUCGCGUGCUGAAUGGGAGAGGAGAAAGAAGGAGCGAGAAAUAGAAGAGAGGGGGAGGGAGUGGGAGGGGACGUGCAGAGACAGAGGAGAGAAUAAGUGAUAAUCAUUCUCCAUUGUAAUCAUCCUCCAGCAUGUUUCAUAAGGCGUCGUCAAUACCUCUCCAGCUGGGGUCCAUCAUCAAACACAAUACACAGUGUGGCGCGCGCAUGCACGGACACACUCUUCCUGGGUGGAGAGCCCAAGCAGGCACUCCACAUCUCAUCUAUUAUCACUCAGCGCUGCCUGGUGCACAGCCUUGCUACACUGUGUCUUCUUUCAUUUGUGAUCUGCUACAUCCUGUGCUCUGUAGGGAUGAAUGGAUAUUGGACUCCUGAAAAUAUGUCACGGUCACAGAUGCCACAGGAGAGUAGAUCAGAAGCUGCUCCCAGAGACAUUUUACUUUGAAAUAAGAGCUGCUAGCAUC